GGGUGAUUAGCUCAGCUGGGAGAGCACCUCCCUGACAAGGAGGGGGUCGGCGGUUCGAUCCCGUCAUCACCCACCA
rnacentral:tRNA from 2 species